AUCGCUUCUCGGUCUUUUGGCUAAGAUCAAGUGUAGUAUCUCUUUUCAUCAGUUUAAUAUCUGAUAUGUCCUCUAUCCAAGGACAUUAUAUUAAACUAGAGGCCUGAUGCACGAAAU
rnacentral:snRNA from 1 species